CGUAGGGUGCGAGCGUUAAUCGGAAUUACUGGGUGUAAAGCGUGCGCAGGCGGUUUGUUAAGAUAGGCGUGAAAUCCCCGGGCUCAACCUGGGAACUGCGCUUAUGACUGGCAAGCUAGAGUACGGCAGAGGGGGGUGGAAUUCCACGUGUAGCAGUGAAAUGCGUAGAGAUGUGGAGGAACACCAAUGGCGAAGGCAGCCCCCUGGGUCGAUACUGACGCUCAUGCACGAAAGCGUGGGUAGCAAACAGGAUUAGAUACCCUGGUAGUCCACGCCCUAAACGAUGUCAACUAGGUGUUGGAUGGGUAAAACCAUUUAGUACCGGAGCUAACGCGUGAAGUUGACCGCCUGGGGAGUACGGCCGCAAGGUUA
rnacentral:rRNA from 1 species